UACAGAGGUCCCAAGCGUUGUUCGGAUUUAUUGGGCGUAAAGGGCGCGUAGGCGGUGCGGUAAGUCACCUGUGAAACCUCUGGGCUUAACUCAGAGCCUGCAGGCGAAACUGCCGUGCUGGAGUGUGGGAGAGGUGCGUGGAAUUCCCGGUGUAGCGGUGAAAUGCGUAGAGAUCGGGAGGAACAUCUGUGGCGAAGGCGACUGCCUGGACCAGCACUGACACUGAGGCACGAAAGCGUGGGGAGCAAACAGG
rnacentral:rRNA from 1 species